CGAAAAUGCCGGAUAGGAUUUCGUUAGAGGCGUCAUGUCACCGAAAGGCUGGCCGAGCAACGACUCAAGAAUCGGGGAGAUAGGGGAAAACGUCUGUGAAAUGCCUCCCCAAGGUCGGUGAUUCGGCCAGAGACGAUUCCGUCAGAAGCGAUUCAGAGAGAGAAGCAGGAGGGAGGCUGAGAUCCAUCACGGAGGGAGGCGACGAUUUAAGGGAAAAAGUUAGGGUUUCCAACCGAUGGACUAGAAACGAAUGAGGGAGGCGAUUUGAGGGAGAGAGUUAAGGUUUUCAGUCGGUAGACUAGAAAUGAAGGAGGGAGGUGACACCUUAGGGUUUCGGGCUCAAAGGGAGGCGGCGAUUUGAAGAAGGUGGCGCCUUAAGGCUUCGGGCUUAGAGGCAGGCAACGAUUUUUUGUAGGCGGCGAUUUGAGAGAGGACCCUCGGAUUAGGGCUUGACACAGAUGAAGAAGAAGGAUGGAGAUGAUGCCUCAUUGGUUUCCAGAAUUUAGGCUAGCAAGAGACUUUAUUAUAGUCUUGCCACUUGUUAAGUUAAUUUCUUUUAAGGGGUAAUUGCCCCUAAAUACAUAAACUUUCAUAAAUUUCUGAAAUUGCACACCACCUUUAAAUUCAGCCCCACAAUACAUAAACUUUGAUAUCUUUCUAAUUUUUCCCAUGGCACCGGAAAUCCCAAAUGAAGAGAUGACGUGGACGCCGGAUUGUCUACGUGGACUCGCCGGACGCCACGUGGAAACGACGUCGUCCUUAUUUAAUAGGAAACGACGUCGUUUCCAACUUAAAGCCCAAAUUGAAGAUUAAUUCCCCUCUUCCCUGUUGAUCGUUCAAGCCCUAAUCACCCUAAAUUGAAAUCCCAUCUUCGAGAACCAGAUAAGAAGACGCCUUAAUUGCGAGAUUAUGUGCUCAAGGGAGAAAGACUCGAGAAGGGAGAAGGGAGCAGGGCGAGUUGAGCGUCUUCGGUGCAGGAGCCUGAUUUUCGCGAGAGCCCUAAUUUUUCCGAGAAGGAGCGAGCGUCUUCUGUGAAGAAGCGAGCGUCGAUUUCGAGUAGGGAGGAGGAAACUCGAGUUGCAGGGAAUCGAUUUGCAACUGAAUAAAGCAGGGAGAAGAGUGCAGGGACUCGAUUUUUAGGAUAUUGUCUCUCAAACAUGCCGAACUCUUCGAGCUCGAGGGAUUCGAUUGGGUUUGUGAAAUUGUGUGGGCAUGGCUCCCUUCUCCUUGCUUCCUUCACCCUGCUCUCUCAUGCCUCCCUUCUAAUUUGAAAGCACAAGUACAAAUUUCAGUUUCCUGCGAAUUUCAGAAGCUCGCGAAUUUGGUGUCUUCUUCGAAUUAGGGCUCUGCUCGAGUCCUUCGACUCUGGUUCUUCAAUGCCUGCCGACGCAGCUCUUAACAGACGCAAUAGGGCUCGCGACUUCGCGAAGCUGGUUCUUGAAUCUCCAUGGUCGACGAUUUCAGAAGCUCGCACUCAGAGAAGACAGGGAAGACGACAGACGCGGGCUUGAACUGGAAAGAGAAGAGGGAAUAUUCACGUUUUUUUUGGAGAAAUGGGAGAGGAAAUUUCAGACUUGAUUUUUGGUUUUUGGGAGAUUACCAUUCACGACGUCGUUUUUUAAUUUUCGUUUCCACGUGGCGUCCGGCGAGUCCACGUAGACAAUCUGGCGUCCACGUCAUCUCUUUAUUUGGGGAUUUCCGGUGCCAUGGGAAAAAUCAGAAAGAUAUCAAAGUUUAUGUAUUGUGGGGCUGAAUUUAAAGGUGGUGUGCAAUUCCAGAAAUUUAUGAAAGUUUAUG
rnacentral:lncRNA from 1 species